rnacentral:rRNA from 1 species
AAAGAUUAAGCCAUGCACGUGUAAGUAAAAGCUUAGCUAAGGUGAAACCGCGAAUGGCUCAUUAAAUCACACCUAAUCUACUGGAAAGUUAAACAGUUACUUGGAUAACUGAGCUAAUUGUUGAGCUAAUACAUGCGAAAAUCCCCGACGCAAGGAGGGGAGCUUUUAUUAGAUCAAAACCAGACGGCUUUCGGGCCGAAUCUCUCUGGCGACUCUGAAUAACUUUGGGCUGAUCGUAUUGCCUUGUGCAGACGACGUUUCCUCCGAAGGUGUGCCCUAUCAACUGUCGACUGU